AUACGUAGGGUGCGAGCGUUGUCCGGAAUUACUGGGCGUAAAGAGCUCGUAGGUGGUUUGUCGCGUCGUCUGUGAAAUUCCGGGGCUUAACUCCGGGCGUGCAGGCGAUACGGGCAAACUUGAGUACUGUAGGGGAGACUGGAAUUCCUGGUGUAGCGGUGAAAUGCGCAGAUAUCAGGAGGAACACCGGUGGCGAAGGCGGGUCUCUGGGGAGUAACGGACGCGGAGGAGCGAAAGCAUGGGUAGCGAACAGGAUUAGAUACCCUGGUAGUCCAUGCCGUAAACGGUGGGCGCUAGGUGUAGGGGUCUUCCACGACUUCUGUGCCGUAGCUAACGCAUUAAGCGCCCCGCCUGGGGAGUACGGCCGCAAGGCUAAAACGCAAAGGAAUUGACGGGG
rnacentral:rRNA from 1 species